CGCUGAGUUUGAUCCUGGCUCAGGAUGAACGCUAGCGGCAGGCUUAACACAUGCAAGUCGAGGGGUAUAGUUCUUCGGAGCUAGAGACCGGCGCACGGGUGCGUAACGCGUAUGCAAUCUACCUUUUAACAGAGGGAUAGCCCAGAGAAAUUUGGAUUAAUACCUCAUAGUAUGUGAGAACUCGCAUGGUUUUCACAUUAAAGUUCCAACGGUAAAAGAUGAGCAUGCGUCCCAUUAGCUAGAUGGUAAGGUAACGGC
rnacentral:rRNA from 1 species